rnacentral:rRNA from 1 species
AUGACCCUUUCCAGUAUUACAAUGUUUCUCGCCGCCGUGUUUGCCUGUGUAUGUUUAUGUGAUUGUGACCGUGAGUGGUAUACCUUCCAUUACCAACCUGCGAUGACAACGGAGACGCCGGCGCCGGCGCCGCGGCUACUCCUGCAGCUUGUCGAUGGCCUGGAGCAGGAAGGGCCGGAACCUGGUGAGGUUCACCUUCACGUCCUGCUUCAUGAUGGUCUCGGCGAGCGCCUGCCACCCCUGCUUGUGCAGCGCCUUGGGGUCGCUGAACACCAGGUGCUCCCGAGGGUACUUGUCCUUGAGGCUCGUCUCCUCCUCGUCCACGUAGUACUCCACGUACCGGAGCUGCAUCUCCCGCGCCGGCUGCCCGUAGAAGUUGGUCGCCAUCCAGUCCAUGUUCCCCCACGGCACGAUCUGCACCACCACCGCCUGCGUCGGCAGGAAGAUCUGGUUCGUCAGCCCGGCCCCGUGCACCGCCAGCAGCACGUCCGCGGAGUUCACCAGCGCCGCGAACGCCGGCACGUCCGCCCCCGCCUCCGCCACCGUCACGUUGAACCCCAGCUCCGUCGCGGCGGCGGCCACCUCCUCCAGGUUCAGCAGCUUCCGCGUGCCCCCGCGGGAGAUGAUCAGCAUCUGCGGCCGCAUCCCGGGCACCUCCCCGAGCGCCGAGGGGCGGUCGCGGCGGAGCGCGUAGGCGGAGCGGAUGAAGCGGUUGUAGUCCACCAUGGUGUAGUUGCGCGGGUUGCGGGUCGGGUGCGGCGAGAUGAUGAGGUCCCGGUCGCGGUACAGGCCCAGGAACCCCGCCGCGAAGCAGUGCACGCCGGCGUCCGCGUCGAAGUUGAUGGGGUCGUAGUUGGAGAGCUUGCGCAGCACCGGCGUGUACUUCUGCACCCACCAUGGCUUGUAGUUGGUGAUGAGCAGCUGCACCUCGCCCAUGAGGUGCGACGCCGUCAGGAACAGCGGGAUCAGCGCGUCCGUGUUGUCGUGGAAGAAGUUGUCCGUGUACCCGGCCACGGAGAACACCACCGCGGGGACGCGGUGCCGCUUCGUGCACUGCGGCGCGGCCGCCGCCGAGGGGACGGACUUGACGGUCACCUCCACCACGGCGGGGAGGAGGAAGUCGUCCUUGCGGGCGUACGGCCGGAGCCGCUUCUCGCCGUUCUCGUCGAAGCCGCCGGCGCCCGACGGGUUCACCAGGUACAUGGUCUUCUGCUUGGGGCUGAUCCGGAUGUCGCCGGACAGCUCGCACACCGACGGACGCGCGUAGGGGAACCCCUCGUCCACCCCGUUCUCGUCGCAGCUCAUCUUUGCUAA